AACUAGUGCGUGCUUUGUUGUGGAAGUUACCUCUGCCUCAAUGGUUUGUGUUCUUAGAACAAUGAAAGCAGACACUUGAGGUGGCUCUGGGCUGGGCUCUGUCUUUGGGCUUACCUGCUGGUGCUCAUACCUGUGUGGGAGUCCUGCGCAUGGCAGUGAUGGGACAGAUGAGCUUUAUUCUCUACUUCAGAGGCAUGUGUCCCUCCCCAACCCUUUUCUAAUGGGAAGGUGGAUUAUUUUGACCUUCAGCAACUCAGAGGUUUCCUGUCUCAUCUCAAGAAGACUCUGAAAGAUUUCUGCAGGAGUGACACCACAAGUGCCAGUCCCGGAGCACAGCGGGACUUGUCCUCCCAGACCCAAGGCAAGGACGUAUACCUGGGGGGCAUCACUGCAUGAUGCUCCCCUGGGCAGGAUGAAACCCCACAAAGGGCAGCCCUGAGCCCCCCGGGGUCACAGCUGGUCCCCAGUCACUUUCCAGGGAGCUCAGCUACCCAAGAAAGAGGAAUUUGAUGUGGUCUCCAUCCACCUACAUCACUUGGUGAGCACAGCUAAGUGGCUCGCACAGAAGGUCAGCUGUUUCACCAGGGCAGGGGAAUUCUUGCGUCUGCAGAUUCAGUAUCUAGCUGAUGGGUUAUGUUUAGUCUAUGGCUGUAAAGUAGCCUUGUUUCUAUUCUGAGAAUAUUUGUCUAAUCAGG
rnacentral:lncRNA from 1 species